rnacentral:rRNA from 1 species
AAAUGAAUAGACGGGGGCCCGCACAAGCGGAGGAACAUGUGGUUUAAUUCGAUGAUACGCGAGGAACCUUACCCGGGCUUGAAAUGCAUCUGACAGGAGCAGAGACGCUCUCUCCCUUCGGGGCAGAUGUGUAGGUGCUGCAUGGUUGUCGUCAGCUCGUGCCGUGAGGUGUCGGCUUAAGUGCCAUAACGAGCGCAACCCUCAUCAUUAGUUACCAUCAGGUUAAGCUGGGGACUCUAAUGAGACUGCCAUCGUAAGAUGUGAGGAAGGUGGGGAUGACGUCAAAUCAGCACGGCCCUUACGUCCGGGGCGACACACGUGUUACAAUGGAUGGUACAAAGGGCAGCUACAUGGCGACAUGAUGCUAAUCUCCAAAACCAUUCUCAGUUCGGAUCGAAGUCUGCAACUCGACUUCGUGAAGCUGGAUUCGCUAGUAAUCGCGCAUCAGCCACGGCGCGGUGAAUACGUUCCCGGGCCUUGUACACACCGCCCGU